rnacentral:rRNA from 1 species
GAUGAACGCUAGCGGCAGGCUUAAUACAUGCAAGUCGUGGGGCAGCAGGACUGUAGCAAUACAGUUGCUGGCGACCGGCAAACGUGUGCGGAACACGUACGCAACUUACCCUGAACUGGGGGAUAGCCCGGGGAAACCCGGAUUAAUACCCCGUAAUAUAAUGGAGUGGGAUCACUUUAUUAUUAAAGCUCCGGCGGUUCGGGAUGGGCGUGCGGCUGAUUAGGUAGUUGGUUGAGGUAACGGCUCACCAAGCCUACGAUCAGUAACUGGUGGGAGAGCACGACCAGUCACACGGGCACUGCGGCCCGGGCCCGACUCCUACGGGACGGAGCAGUAAGGAAGACUGUGCAAUGGAGGCAACUCCGACCCAGCCAUGCCGCGUGGAGGAUGAAGGCCCUCUGGGUUGUAAACUUCUUUUAUAGGAGACGAAACCGGUGUAUUCUUACGCAGUUGACGGUACCCUAGGAAUAAGCACCGGCUAACUCCGUG